rnacentral:rRNA from 1 species
AUUGAACGCUGGCGGCAUGCCUUACACAUGCAAGUCGAACGGCAGCACGGGUGCUUGCACCUGGUGGCGAGUGGCGAACGGGUGAGUAAUACAUCGGAACAUGUCCUGUAGUGGGGGAUAGCCCGGCGAAAGCCGGAUUAAUACCGCCUACGAUCUACGGAUGAAAGCGGGGGACCUUCGGGCCUCGCGCUAUAGGGUUGGCCGAUGGCUGAUUAGCUAGUUGGUGGGGUAAAGGCCUACCAAGGCGACGAUCAGUAGCUGGUCUGAGAGGACGACCAGCCACACUGGGACUGAGACACGGUCCAGACUCCUACGGGAGGCAGCAGUGGGGAAUUUUGGACAAUGGGCGAAAGCCUGAUCCAGCAAUGCCGCGUGCGUGAAGAAGGCCUUCGGGUUGUAAAGCACUUUUGUCCGGAAAGAAAUCCUUGGCCCUAAUACGGUCGGGGGAUGACGGUACCGGAAGAAUAAGCACCGGCUAACUACGUG